AUUUUCAUUUUGUUGCAAACGAAAUACUGCUACCAAUUUCUACAGCUUUCUAUACAACAUCUUAUCCAAACGACCUAGGGAGAUUUAUAUAUUUUUAUAUAUAUAUAAAAAAAAUCAGCUUAUCAUCAGGACAAGGAAAAUAGCAUGCUUGUAUGCAGUAAUAACAGUACCAGAACCGUAGCUAGGCAAUCUCGGCAGCUCAGGCAUCGCAGUUGCUUCAGGCAGGGUAAGUGGACACCUCCCCGUUUCCACUCCAACCACACCGCGGAGGACAGAGACCUCCAAAAGCACCGCCGUUCCUGUUCCUCUUCUCGAGCAAGAGCAGAGCACAACUAGGCCACGAGAAUGGCCCCACCAGGCCGGUCGCUUUGCUUGUUUUUAAAGAAAGGUCACGGAGCUCUGGUCUAGAAGAGAGCAAGGAACCUAUGGAGGUCUCCUGUGGUUGCCCUGUGGAGAGGAGGACAAGGAGUUCCUGCCUCUGCUCGCUGCCCCGAGGAAGAGUGCGGUGAAGAGAGGGGAGGAGGAGGCAUUCAUUCCUACCAGGUGUUACCCAUUUUCACCUCACAAUGACAGCAAGUGGGAGAAAUCAAGCACUCUCUAAGAACUGAGUUUGUAAUAAAUGUAAUCUGGUUAACAAAUUAAAGGUCAUUC